rnacentral:rRNA from 1 species
AGAGUUUGAUUGGCUCAGAUUGAACGCUGGCGGCAGGCCUAACACAUGCAAGUCGAGCGGUAGCACAGAGAGCUUGCUCUCGGGUGACGAGCGGCGGACGGGUGAGUAAUGUCUGGGAAACUGCCUGAUGGAGGGGGAUAACUACUGGAAACGGUAGCUAAUACCGCAUAACGUCGCAAGACCAAAGUGGGGGACCUUCGGGCCUCAUGCCAUCAGAUGUGCCCAGAUGGGAUUAGCUAGUAGGUGGGGUAACGGCUCACCUAGGCGACGAUCCCUAGCUGGUCUGAGAGGAUGACCAGCCACACUGGAACUGAGACACGGUCCAGACUCCUACGGGAGGCAGCAGUGGGGAAUAUUGCACAAUGGGCGCAAGCCUGAUGCAGCCAUGCCGCGUGUGUGAAGAAGGCCUUCGGCUGUAAAGCACUUUCAGCGGGGAGGAAGGCGAUAAGGUUAAUAACCUUGUCGAUUGACGUUACCCGCAGAAGAAGCACCGGCUAACUCCGUGCCAGCAGCCGCGGUAAUACGGAGGGUGCAAGCGUUAAUCGGAAUUACUGGGCGUAAAGCGCACGCAGGCGGUCUGUCAAGUCGGAUGUGAAAUCCCCGGGCUCAACCUGGGAACUGCAUUCGAAACUGGCAGGCUAGAGUCUUGUAGAGGGGGGUAGAAUUCCAGGUGUAGCGGUGAAAUGCGUANAGAUCUGGAGGAAUGCCGGUGGCGAAGGCGGCCCCCUGGACAAAGACUGACGCUCAGGUGCGAAAGCGUGGGGAGCAAACAGGAUUAGAUACCCUGGUAGUCCACGCCGUAAACGAUGUCGAUUUGGAGGUUGUGCCCUUGAGGCGUGGCUUCCGGAGCUAACGCGUUAAAUCGACCGCCUGGGGAGUACGGCCGCAAGGUUAAAACUCAAAUGAAUUGACGGGGGCCCGCACAAGCGGUGGAGCAUGUGGUUUAAUUCGAUGCAACGCGAAGAACCUUACCUGGUCUUGACAUCCACAGAACUUUCCAGAGAUGGAUUGGUGCCUUCGGGAACUGUGAGACAGGUGCUGCAUGGCUGUCGUCAGCUCGUGUUGUGAAAUGUUGGGUUAAGUCCCGCAACGAGCGCAACCCUUAUCCUUUGUUGCCAGCGGUCCGGCCGGGAACUCAAAGGAGACUGCCAGUGAUAAACUGGAGGAAGGUGGGGAUGACGUCAAGUCAUCAUGGCCCUUACGACCAGGGCUACACACGUGCUACAAUGGCAUAUACAAAGAGAAGCGACCUCGCGAGAGCAAGCGGACCUCAUAAAGUAUGUCGUAGUCCGGAUUGGAGUCUGCAACUCGACUCCAUGAAGUCGGAAUCGCUAGUAAUCGUAGAUCAGAAUGCUACGGUGAAUACGUUCCCGGGCCUUGUACACACCGCCCGUCACACCAUGGGAGUGGGUUGCAAAAGAAGUAGGUAGCUUAACCUUCGGGAGGGCGCUUACCACUUUGUGAUUCAUGACUGGGGUGAAGUCGUAACAAGGUACCCG